rnacentral:rRNA from 1 species
GGGCCCGCACAAGCGGUGGAGUAUGUGGUUUAAUUCGAUGCAACGCGAAGAACCUUACCAGGGUUUGACAUCCUGCGAAUUUCUUGGAAACGAGAAAGUGCCUUCGGGAACGCAGUGACAGGUGGUGCAUGGCUGUCGUCAGCUCGUGUCGUGAGAUGUUGGGUUAAGUCCCGCAACGAGCGCAACCCACGUCUUUAGUUGCCAGCAUUUAGUUGGGCACUCUAGAGAGACUGCCGGUGAUAAACCGGAGGAAGGUGUGGAUGACGUCAAGUCAUCAUGGCCCUUACGACCAGGGCUACACACGUGCUACAAUGGUAGGUACAGAGGGCAGCUACACAGCGAUGUGAUGCGAAUCUCAAAAAGCCUAUCGUAGUCCAGAUUGGAGUCUGCAACUCGACUCCAUGAAGUAGGAAUCGCUAGUAAUCG